UGCCGAGUGAGCCUCGGCCAUAAAGCUCAGCUCCCAGCUUCUCCCUGGAAGCGUCUAGACCAGGCUUUGGGGUCUAAUUUCCGGCUCUUCCGACUGGGGCUAUAGGGUCCAGCUUCUAACUCUCCUACCUUUGGCGGCUGGCAGGGUCCUCGGCGAGCUUGGCCAGUUUCCGCCUGGUGAGACCUUGAACUCAGUAAUAACAUCACCCACCGCUGUUUUUCAGGGGGACGCGGUGCGAGCCACUGACUCGUGAGGUAGGAGAGGCUCACGGGCACUUCCGGCGUACCUCCAGCCCGCCGUCCCCUUGCUCUUCUGAGGAAAACAACGGAACGCCCACCUCUCGCUUCUUCCCGGGAGGAUCCGGCCUAUACUUCCCGAGACCUCCGGUGCCCGCAGCGGCCUGACGGUCUCCUUGUGCUUCCGUCGCCUGUGUCUGGGAACUCCUGAGGCCUGGCCUUUGCCGCUCCUUCGCAUCUCCGGUGAACAAAGCAGAAGCUUUGAAGGGCUGCAGGCUCUCCUGCGAGUCUGGGCCUAUCCCGCUCCUAUAAUUAUGCCCACCUCCCACCUUCUCCUUGAAAGGGGUUAGACUGCACAUCCAGGGCCUCAUCUUCUCCGACUUUUCUCGGGAGGUCUGGCUCCGAACUGACUUGUCUCUGGCAGGUGAUCCCCAGUCUCCCGGUAACCUGAAACGGCUGUGGGCACUAACUGCAGCACCCCUCCGGCCCUCUUACCCCAAAGACGGAGCUAAGCCUCCAGCUAACCACCUAUCUCCGAGAGCUGAGGAGGCUUGCCGUUUGCUUGUCCCCUGAGAGUGACAGCAAAACAACCGUAAGGAAAGGCACGGCAAGAGUGCAGGCAUUUGCCACACUCCGUCCCCAGCUCAGGGCAGAGUGGGUGGGCACUCCAGCUCCCAGGUUCUCCUUGAGGAGAGAAGGAAGUGGACCGCACAUCUAGGACGACAUUUCCAGCUGCUCCUGGAAGGACUGGCUUCUACCUUGCCUGUCUCAAGAAACUGAGGCACACCUCAUCUCGGGAGGAAAAUGCUAACUAUAGAAGGAAAUGAGUCACAGUGAACUCAGAUGACUAUCCUAGGUCACAAAGCUGGUAAGAAAUGAAGCAAGGAUUUAAAUCAGACCAGCCUUGUCUGGCAUCCUCUGGGCUUUAUUGGAACUUCUGGCAACAUAGGAUAAACAAUAAAUCAAACUGCAUAUUAUUACACACAAAAGAAUAUGAGAAACUUUUUAAAGGGAUUCAAAGGAGAAAAAAUACAGCAUUGUCUUGGAAGUAGAAUGACAACAUACCAAGCGUGGGCAGUAUUUUUAACAAGAUCCAGACAAAUGAAAAGGAAGAAUAUUCAAGUUUCUAUACUUGGCUGCUCUAUUUCAUAUAUUCUGCUUGAAG